rnacentral:rRNA from 1 species
UAGGGAAUCUUCUGCAAUGGGGGGAACCCUGACCGAGCAACGCCGCGUGAGUGAAGAAGGUUUUCGGAUCGUAAAGCUCUGUUGUUAAGGAAGAACGAGUGUGAGAAUGGAAAGUUCAUGCUGUGACGGUACUUAACCAGACAGGGACGGCUAACUACGUGCCAGCAGCCGCGGUAAUACGUAGGUCCCGAGCGUUGUCCGGAUUUAUUGGGCGUAAAGCGAGCGCAGGCGGUUAGAAAAGUCUGAAGUGAAAGGCGGUGGCUCAACCAUUGUAGGCGUUGGAAACUGGUUAACUUGAGUGCAGAAGGGGAGGGUGGAAUUCCAUGUGUAGCGGUGAAAUGCGUAGAUAUAUGGAAGAACACCGGUGGCGAAAGCGGCUCUCUGGUCUGUAACUGACGCUGAGGCUCGAAAGCGUGGGGAGCGAACAGG